CUAAGAAUCAAAACAGCAUAAUCCGACGUGGAAGAAGGACUUGAAGAUAACACAAAUUUUCUUAUGGUGAAAUCUUUGAACAAGUAUAUCAAUUCCAAUUCUUGGUAAUGAUCAUAGUUCUUAGAUAUCUCAACAUCGGGAAGCUCAAUAAUUUGCUGAUGGUUUAAUGGAUGCAACAGAUUAACCUUGGAGUUUUUGAUGGAUUCAGUCAUCAGCCACCCUAGAGAUGAAUAGCACAAUUUGUCUUUAGUUUGUGGAAGAUCAAGUUUGUAAAUCUUAUCCCUUUUCAGGUCGUAAAACUCACGGAUAGUAGUACCUUUAUGCUCAGGGGGCAUAAGCCAUGGAACUUGAUGUGUUCUAGUAAAGUUUUCCUUGAUGGCAGCUAAACUCCAGGAUUUACAAACCGCGCGAAAGGAUAUAAAGUCCUCCAAGGAAACCACCCUUUGAGCGAUGGAGACAAUAAGAUCUUGAGGAAGAUUAGCCAUCUGAUGUUCACCAAUGUACGUUGAUGAUUAAUCAGAUUUAGUAGUGACAGAGAUCGAAGAGAAGGAUAGGUUGAGACUUGAGAGAGAGAAGCCACAAGUGAACAUUCUGAACUGUUGGGAAUGUGGUGGUAGUUGAGUUGGGGAAUGUAAGCAUAGUAGCAGAAUAUGGACCGGAAUAAGUCAUCCUGAAGGGGUCACAGUCAUUUAGAGCUUGACUACCCCCCUGUGUAUGCAAUGGCGGCAUGUGGUGAGUAGUCGAGUAUGCUCCAGAUGAUGUCACAUAUGCUGGAAACCCAGAAUGAACAUGCUGAAAAUACUGUGAUGGAGGAUCCCUCAUCAUUCCACCGAUUUGAGCCAAAGAAGCCAUAGAAUUACUGCUAUGAACACCCGUAGAAGCAAGCGGACCUUCGACAUGAUUACGUUGAUCCAGAGCACUACUAGUAUUCACCACAGAUGUAGCAUCAACCACAGUAGCAGGUACCUCACUAAUAAACCCCAGCAACACCUCAUCAUUACCCAAAUUCAAGGUAGGGAUAAGAGUUGAGCUACCUUCAGAUCUAGCCAUCGUAGAGGAUGAUCCCACGGAAACGGAGGUUAACUUCUGUGGAAUGACCGGCGAAGGCACAGAUCCAAACCUGACCGUCCCAUCCGGCUGAGGGAUGGCGGUGCUGCCGUGCUUAGUGAGUUGGAACUGCUUGAUCUCCUCCAUUAGCCCCGAUUUGAACCCGGCUAGGGUAUUAGCCACUGAUUCUUGGAUGUUAGCUUGCAUUUCAGCGAGCCGAUGCACCUGUAGUUCCAAUUCAUCUAGUUCCGAUUAUUAAACUCUAAUGCAGCUUAAUUAACCUAAUGAGUAAUUAGUCUGACCCACGUGU